CAAGCCCAGAUAUCAUCUACAUAGUGUGCGAAGCAAUCGCCAACAUAGUACAAUAUAUCCCUCGGAUUGGACCUAGUCACAAUUUCCAAUAUAUACGACCCUGCACUAGCCGUGGAGUGCGUGUCUAUCCUCAUAAUAACGUCACAAUGUAUUAUGCCAGGGUUUCAAACUUUGGGUCAUCAUCUACACGCAUUACUCACCUGAAGCCGGACGCAAACUAGCUCACAAUGCCUUUCCAUAG
rnacentral:lncRNA from 1 species